rnacentral:lncRNA from 1 species
CUCCUACGUGACCCAAGAUCCAGUCAAACAGACACCAAGAUAAGCAGUCACUAUAGUGAUGUUUCAUGAUAUGGAAAUUAAAGCUUUCAUUUAAUAGUGAUCACUCUUCCACCAGAACAGAUCCAUACGUGUGCAGUCACCCGCUGGGGAUGGUCACAGCACUGGCUCUGCUGAGGAGCAAUAGAUGUUGGUAGCAGAGACAAUUAGCUACCUACAAGCCAUUUGGACCCCAG